AUCAAAAACAUAACCUUUAGCCAAGCAAGUAUUAAAGGCAAUGCCUGCCCAGUGAAUAAUUAAACGGCCGCGGUACCCUAACCGUGCAAAGGUAGCAUAAUCAUUUGUCUAUUAACUGUAGACCUGUAUGAAAGGCAAAAUGAGGGUUUAACUGUCUCUUGUAGUAAAUCUAUUAAACUGAUCUACUAGUAAAAAAGCUAGAAUACCCCCAUAAGACCAGAAGACCCUGUGAAGCUUUAACUAAACUAUUAAACCAAAUAAUAACUACUUUAGGUUGGGGCGACCUUGGAAAUAAAAAGAACUUCCACACAUAAAUAAAAUCUAAAGGCUAACAAGCCAAUUAACGACCCAGUAACACUGAUAAUUGAACCAAGUUACUCCAGGGAUAACAGCGCCAUCUUCUUCAAGAGCCCAUAUCAAAAAGAAGGUUUACGACCUCGAUGUUGGAUCAGGACACCCCAAUGGUGCAGCCGCUAUUAAAGGUUCGUUUGUUCAACGAUUAAU
rnacentral:rRNA from 1 species